AUUGUAUGAGCCCACCAUAUAUU
rnacentral:piRNA from 1 species